rnacentral:rRNA from 1 species
UACGGAGGAUCCAAGCGUUAUCCGGAAUCAUUGGGUUUAAAGGGUCCGUAGGCGGUUUGUCGCGUCUGCCGUGAAAGUCCGGGGCUCAACUCCGGAUCUGCGGUGGGUACGGGCAGACUAGAGUGAUGUAGGGGAGAUUGGAAUUCCUGGUGUAGCGGUGGAAUGCGCAGAUAUCAGGGAGGAACACCAAGUGGCGAAGGCGGAUCUCUGGGGCCGUAACUGACGCUGAGGAGCGAAAGCAGUGGGGAGCGAACAGG